rnacentral:rRNA from 1 species
UACGAAGGGGGCGAGCGUUGUUCGGAUUUACUGGGCGUAAAGGGCGCGCAGGCGGCUCAUUUUGUCAGGCGUGAAAGCCCCGGGCUUAACCUGGGAACUGCGUUUGAUACGGAUGGGCUAGAGUUCGGGAGAGGAGAGUGGAAUUCCCAGUGUAGAGGUGGAAUUCGUAGAUAUUGGGAAGAACACCGGUGGCGAAGGCGGCUCUCUGGACCGAUACUGACGCUGAGGCGCGAAAGCGUGGGGAGCAAACAGG